rnacentral:rRNA from 1 species
UACGUAGGGUGCAAGCGUUAAUCGGAAUUACUGGGCGUAAAGGGCGCGCAGGCGGCUCAGACAGUCAGAUGUGAAAGCCCCGGGCUUAACCUGGGAACUGCAUUUGAUACUACUGAGCUUGAGUACGGGAGAGGAUAGUGGAAUUCCCAGUGUAGAGGUGAAAUUCGUAGAUAUUGGGAAGAACACCGGUGGCGAAGGCGGCGACCUGGUCCAUUACUGACGCUGAGGCGCGAAAGCGUGGGGAGCAAACAGG